GAGCGGGAGGGCGGGAAUUCAAAACUGCGACUCUUCUCAUUUGCUAGCUGCCCAGACACUACAAGUCCCAGAAUGCACUGCUCCAGUGGCGUAAGAUCGUGCCCCUGCGCUGAGAAAGAAGUGCGCUCUGGGAGAUGUAGUCUCCGAAGUUUGAAGAACUUCGGGAGUUCAGACCCACAGAAAACGAGACCGUUGGACACCUCAAUUUCCUAGAAUUUUCUUCUUUGGCCAAUAAUAAUGAUAAUGAAUAAUGAUAAUGGGCUUUUUUUCAGUUCCGGCACCUCUCAGGUGGGCACCAUUGCCAUUCUAAGAGAAUGAGGGAGGCAUUCACGAUGAAGGGAUUGUUUUUAAAGAUGGGAGGAAAACAAGGACAGAAAAGAAAACAGGGAAUGUUUCAGUGUGAGCAUAGAAGUUUACAUCUUGCCCACUGCGUCUUUGUUUAGUCUGCUUUUCCAAGAUAUAACAUUUAUUUUAAAAUGUUAGCUCUCAGAUACAGUGAGUUAUGACCUGAACACCUUAAAAUAUAUUAUAACAAGACUUUGGCCAACAUACCCAUUUGGUUCAAAUUUACUGGAAGAGGCUUUGUAUGCAUCUGUUGUGCUAAA